AACCUUUGGAAGAGGAGAAUUCGUUUGAAGCCGUUCUCAAAUGUAUUUUCCCACUAUUUUCCGUAAGUACAAGUGGCAGUAGUAUCAUUUAAACUCCGAGAACAACAAUUUUAUUGCACAAGUAAUAAUCGUCCAGCCAUAUUCUAAACUUAAUAUCUAAUGUUCACACUUUGUAACCGUCGCGUAAUCAUAUUUACGCACACGUUCAAUCCACGCGCUUCACACGAAUGGGCUAUGUUCCACAUUGUUCUGAACGUAAACGGAAUCCACAUCGCGGCGUGAAAUGCUAAGGUCUCCCGUUGUAGCCGCAGGCUCGAAGUGCACUCCAUGCCACCUGAGACAGAAAUAGAAGAAAACUUCUUGCGAAAUAUCUCUUCUUCAUAAUUCAGAAGAAAUUGUAAUACAACGUGUGUCUUGUCCCCCUGCAGAGCAUAGAAUUUACACGUUUGCUGAUAAAUUUAUAACGAAGACUCUAUCGAUCGACUUCUGCGAACUCACCCUCGCAUUUAUUCGCACAAUUUCAAAAUUACAUCUCCCGUCAAUCAUCCCGAGACCCCAUCGUCUCGUGCUUAAAUUAUUAAGCAAUGUUGCGUGCGGAAAAAAUAAAAGGGGCGAAAUUCUACGGCAUGGGGAGCGCGCGAGUCAGUUGCGUUUCAGGUGCGGUGCGGUAUGGAUCGCGUUAAGUCAGACUAUUACAAGUUCAGCACCGCGGUUUUGUCGGGGAUUGGCCUCUGGCCUAAUGGAAACACAAAUAUCCAGCGAUUUCAGAUCUUCGUGAUCAUCAUUGCAUUCUCAGUGUUUCUAAUCAUACAGUUCAUAUCGAUGGCAACACAGCAUUAUACAGUGUCGGGAUACAUAAGUUGCGUCUCACCCUUAUCGUUGUCUCUUGGCUUUUUCUUUAAAUACUUGACGUUCUUAAUUAAAAGUGAAACAAUCUGGAAAAUGUCUCGUGAUAUCAGUUACGAUUGGGUCACGGUUGAGAACGACGAGGAAGUUAGAAUACUGACGAAAUACGCCUAUAGGGGUGACCGUUUUGGGAAAAUGUUUGCAUACAUAGUAUGGAUUCCAGUGUUUAUCGGGAUGACUAGUCACUUCUCUGCAGAGAUUCUUGACUUUUUGUUUCCGCUUAACGCCUCGCGACCUCACAAUUACCCGUUUCCACUAGAGUAUCCCGGCGAUCGAGAAAAAUACUUCUACCCGUACGCGAUCUACGUAGAUUUCACAUUUUUCGUAGGUUGUACCACGUUCGUUGGUACAGAAGCGCUAAGCACGAUGUAUAUGCAUCAUGUUAUCAGUUUGUUGAAAAUCGUAAGUUAUCGUAUCGAAAACGCGAUUUCUGACUCCACAAAUGGAUCACAGAAAUGUUUAGCGGAUAAAGGAAAAGAGGGUCUGAUCAAAGCCAUCGUUUUACACACACGGGUGAUCAAGUUCACUAAGCUUAUGGAGGAACACUUGUCGGUUUCGUACACUCUGCUUCUUAUCUGUGGCGUCAUCGCUCUAAGCGUUAAUCUAUUUUGGCUGUCGCAGUCGAUAUCUGGAGUGGAUGAUCAGAUGCUAAUUCCUUCGACGUGCAUUCUUACCAUCUUUAUUUACAUGUUCUAUAUGAAUUAUUUAAUACAAGAUGUAAACGAUGGCAGAGACGAUAUUUUUACAGCUUUUUUGCAGAUACAACAGCGAAUGGUACAGAACGCCAGUAACUAUGCAAAAGUUGUUACUGUUCAUAAUGUUGAAAACAUUAAAAGGUGAAAUCUUCAACCUGCUGGUCGUGUUCACACCAUCAUUCGAAGGUUUCGCUACUUUAGUAAAUACGUCAGUAUCCUAUUUCAUGGUGAUGUACUCCAUCCAGUGAUAUCGUUAACAUAUGAUACUGGAUUAGCCGUCAUAGGAAGUUUGUUGAUCGUCAAAUCAUUUUCAUUGUUCUGCGAUGUAGGAUUCUUUUUAUUGCACUAUUCAAUAAACGUACAUUUGUGAGGAAA